ACAACUUGCAAACAGCCAAGUACAGAUCACAGUGAUAAACAGAGAGAGUUGCAGCAUCAGGAAUUCACAUGAGGAAAAAUUAUGAUGGAUUGUGUAACAGCUAAUAACUACCCUGUUAAGAUAAAUCAAAUAAUAUUAUUUUAGUAGCUACAGAUGAACUCCACAGAUAAUUGUUAUUCUUAAGAAAGGAAAUAUACGACUCGGGCACUGCAUUCAUAGGAACUGCAGCACAUCAAGUGAUUUUGUUUCACAGACUCCACCCAUGAGAAUUCCAACUGCUCUGUGUAAGUAGAUGUUGAUAUUAACAGCAAAGCUUCGAAGUAAGAGCUCCCUGGCAGGGUCUGACUGAAGCCAUUGUGUAUAAGAACAAAGGGCUGACAAUCAAGCAGUAUUGUUUGUGUGACACUAUAACUAACGUCUGACACGUGCACACAGGGGUGAUCCUCACAGACGGGCUGUAUUGUUGGCUGAGUGCUGUGUGACACACCAGGCAGGCAAUGGUACACUGAUGACACUGACACGAGAGCGGAGGAAUCACAAGCAACCACAACCUUGGGGAGUUUAAUGAAGCUGUCCACCAGCCAGUUUUAGAGAUUUUUCAGAUUCACGUACAGCACAACACCACCACUCUAUCCUACCCCACCUGCUCUUUGCAAAUAAAAAAUAUUGACACUCUUCCGAGAGACCUCUUACUGUAUGAAAACUAGUCUAAAGCCAGUAAGAUUCUCCUUACUAGCCUCUGCCUCCCACCACUUCUGUACUGUAAGCCAGCUGAAGCGUUCAAGAGUCCUUAGGCAAAAGGAGAAAGUAGCACUCUUUUUAAUCAAUGAAGUGGGUAGUAUAGUUGACCUCUAGCCCAGUCAGCUAACUCCGUCAAUUACAUCAUGUCUGCAUCAGUGCCAAAGAGUUAUUUCCAUCCCAGAAUAAAACUUUGUAUGAUGAUAAUUUGCCAAGCACGGUAUGACAGAAGUGUUAUACUGCUGAGCGUGCAUCACAUCUCUUCAUGGCAAAACCACACAUGUAAAUCUGCCUGUCUCUGAGGCAGCGGGGUACUGGACGCCAAAUGUGUCUGAUUUCUACCGGCAUAACAUUUGUAAUUGUGAGGCAUUACUAUUAGCCAAGCCACUAUAUCACAAAUAAAAACAAAUAAAAACAACAACACCAACAACCACAUCAACAUAUUGGGUAGUUAUACAUUGAGAGGCCAUCAUAGAAAAAAACAAAAACUUCCCACAACAACUUUACAGAGGCCUAGCCUCCCGAUGUAAUCCUUGAAUAACCAUUUUGGAGUUUCAGCUCUGACAUUUUACCAGGUUCUUUGUGUUCUGGAUAUGUUUUAUGACUCUGGAGCCCAUGAGUCCCAUUCAAACACUGCUGUAAUAUGUCACUGAUGACCUGCAGAAUUUAGAUAGUAGCUGUAUGAAUGUGCUUAUUCAAAAGUGCCUGAAAAAUGCAAACUCAUUUGACACUUCUAGUCAAUUUCACCAACAAAAAAGUACAUGAAAAGGCGUACUUUUUAUUUUUGAAAAAUAAUGACAUUUAUUUAAUUAAAACUGUAUGCGAUUUCUGUUUAAUUAAAAAAAACAGAUUCCAAAAAAAAAAAAAAAAGUGUGGAUUCCAUAAUUAGACUUUUGUUUUAAUAUGUAAAAACCAUCAUCUGUAUAAAUAGAUCUGUGUUUGUCACCUCUUAAAUAAUGUAGCUCGGCCUGUCAAUGGCAGAGCGCUGUCAAAAUAAUUAGCUAAUGCAAAUGAGAGCUUACAACUUCAGGAAGCCACCUCUGCAUAAGAAUUGAACCUCUGUGUUUUGCAUCUAGAGUUAUAACAAUAGCAUGACAUAGCAAAUGAUGGAGGGAUGAGUGCUAGCUCCUAUUGCAACAUACCACAUGUUUGUAUUAGCAUAGCUAAUUAUGCAUAAUUGAGUGCUUUCUACUAUCCCAUCUCCUGAGGCCUAUGUCUAACUUCUGUUGUAUUUAUGCAAAAGUUACUUGGAGACAACACAAUCCAAUUACACAUAGUGUACAGGGUGUGCAUGACGCAUAAUUAGGAUUUGAUCACAGCUCCAAAAAAUAUCUUGAUCUAUAACACAGCCAACAGACCCCUGUCUUUGACUUUAACUUGUUUAAGUUCAAAAGAUGUUACAUGAGAUAGAAUAGUACUGAAAACUCUAUAUAAUGAAAUAAACAUAUGUCAAAGUAUUUCCAAAUUAUUUCUAAAACGUUAUCUGACACGAUCUGAAUUCUUGUUGUGGUAAAUGGAACCUGCCCAGUACUCCAGGGAUGGGGAGGCCAACAAAAACUCUGUGGUCAAAUGCUGGACAGCUACAUGACCUUCACUCCUUUAAGAACUGUUAAAUUAAAUAAAAACAGCUGCACAAGUGAAGUCCAAGAAUGUGUCUCAGAAUACAAUAAAAUAAUCAAAUUAGAUUAAAUAAAUAUUUCGAACCAUUAAAUCAAAUAUUGUGAAAUGAACCGUCUUCAUGUUUCAAUACCAGAUAUUUGGAGCAAAGGUCUGACUGAGUCAGCAGACUUACCAUUCUUUACACAUAAGAAUUCCUCAGUUCCUACUGAAACAUAUUCAAGGCUAGUUCAAAUACUUGGAUGCACUAUAUAAAGAUGUGUUCAAUCACUUUACAACACUAAUGACAAAAAGGAAGGGGGGGGGAAUCAGAAGCCACCACUUGCUUUCUGUGCUCUGUCAUAUCCAAAACACCUGAUGAAAUGAAAAUAAUAAAGCAGCAGUGCUGUAUAACUGCUUUUAAAAUCACAUCAUGUAAGUGUUUAAUAAAAAAGGCUGCACAUUAAUUAUUCUAAGCGCAGUGUUUGGUCUUUUUAUUUGAGCAGUCUGCUGAAAAUGUAUCCUUUUGAGUAGUUGAUAAACUCAAUACAUGCAGCAGAAUAACUGUAGAGAUAUAUAUUUUUUCUUUUUGCUUCUAUAUAUUUUACUACAGCUCCUGGUGCUGUACUAGUGAAUGUACUAACUCACUCUCUAUUUUCUGAACAUACAAAGUGUCCUAUCAUGGUCUGCGUUGUAGCAUUAUUAUUUGAUACAUUUUGAAAAAGGUCCGACUUCAGUCACUAAAGGCACAAACUUCAACAUUUGCUGCGUAGUGUUACAAUUCUUGGAUGAAACUGGUGUAAGACGUAUACGUAAUGCAAAGAUCCCUCACACACAGACACCGACACAGACUUACAAACACGCUUGAACAGUAACAAAACUAUCAAAUUCCCAUCCAGCCAAAACCCUGUUAAAAAUAAAAUAAGGCGGCUCUAUGAUCAUUACGGCCUGACAAUGCCAAUUACCAAUACAGUAUCUCUAUUUUGUCUGUAAAAGGCAAUAGAAGGAUUAACUUCAGGCCUCUCUGCUUCCCCUCUUUCCUCUCACAGAGCAGACUAUGUUUACUGACUAAUCUCCUUUCCUGCUUUGACCAUAAAUGUGAUUACCACCACACAAGAGAUAAUAAAACCCCAUAUCUCUGCUGUACCAAAGAGUAUGAAUUAAAACCUAAGCUGUAGCCUUGAGGAAUAUAGAAAAGAAGGGGGGGGGGACACAGAAAAGGGAGUAUUUGGUGAUGAGUGCAUACAGCCCCCUACUGGUAAACACCAUUCACUAUUUAGCCAAAUACAACACAACAAGCUCCAUGAUCUUCUGUUGAAUGCCAGCAACAGUUGCAGUGAAGUGAACAGCAGGGAAUGAACAGCCUGGGCGUCUGGCUGUCUGGGAGGGCUGAUACUUUCAACAAAGGGGCAGACUGGACUUCCUACUACAGAACACCUUACCAGAACAAUUACCAUGGUAACCACUGAGCAGAUGACAACAUUUCCUCAGCAAUGAGCCAAUGGUUGCCUGUUAAGAGUUGAACACAGACAAUUUACUUGAUUCUCCAACGCCUGAUGUGAGCUUUAUAGAUGCCAGCCAACUCAGGAUGGAUGCUGUUUCAAAGACGACAGCUCAUCAAGAUGAGUGACAAGUGUUGGGUUUGGAAUUUUGGCCAAUUGAGGUGGAGGCAUGCAAGACUAACAACAUACUUCCUGCCUCAAGGCAAAAACCUGUAGGUUUAAGUUUGAAAUGGCAAUGCUUUUUGUCUGAUCCAGAGAUUUGGGUUUUUAAUUAAAAAACAACAAGAUUUUAUUCAGUUGUGACAGUCUGCUCAUUUUCACAAAACCACUUAAAUCAGCCGAUUAGAUUUAUCAAGGCAGUCAGUAAGACGAUGAUUUCAAACAUGAGCACUCACACACACGCACACACAGUAGCACUUAGCAGGAACCCUAUAUAAGCUUGUGACCUUUACCUCUAAAGUACAGCAUUAAAAUUCAUAGGCAAAGCAACAGUCUUUCUGCUGUUUAUCUUUGUGACAGAAAGGCAGUUGUUUCAUAACUGAUUACUAGACAUAAAGGCAGUAUUCCUGACAACAAAUGAGUACUAUAGUGUGCAUGAAUAUUAAGCGGCUAUUAUUGUUUUUUUUAUAUCAACAAUAGAUCACAUGACACUAAUCAGUAGGUGAUUCAUUGAUUAUUUUUUUUAGAAAUUAGAUAAACCCAAAGAUAUUAUUUAAUAUUAGUUAGUAACAGUCAUUAUUAUCAGCUCCAUGUGGCUUAUAUAUAUCAUCUUUUAGUUCAUUGUUUUUGUUUUAUGGUCCACAACUUCAUUGUUUUGAUUCACUCUCAGCAGAAGGCAGCUGUUUUCAUAGCAAUUGCAUGCAGUGCAAUGCAGCAUAUUAUAGCAGUUGAAGAGAAAGAUAUCUCUUCAGAUAUUUAGUGGGGACCAAAACCAGAGCUAAAAGGAGACUGGAUAUUUGACAAAUAUGAAUGCUAAUGUUGCUCUGAUGUGUAAAUAAGUAAAUAUCAGCAAAUAAGUUUGCCAUAUCAACUUUAAAAGAUAACAAUAUGUCAGUGUUGUGUUUUAAAGCUUGUUUGUGCUGUCCCCAAGUGGCCCAAAAAUCUGUUACUGUAGGUUGAAAUAAGUCUAAACCAAUGUUAAACUUAUUUUCGUCCACCUUACUAGGCCAUUGCCCAUCAGAACUGUGCUGAAAAAUGCUUGUUUGACCUUUGAAACUUAAAUUUAUCUUAAAUCUAUUUGUAUUUUUUCCUUCCAGCAUCAUUUUAUAUAAUACGUAGUUCAGCUACAGCAAUUUGUAUGUACCAAUAACACAUAAACAUGAAUAAACCCAUUUGUUCCUGUUAACUUGUCACACAGACAAAUGAAUGUACACAAAAAUGGCAGGUUUUAUGGACUCAGGGUGUAUUCUUGCGCAGUGUAAAUGUACAUAACUGUGACAGAGCUUAACUGCAGUUAUUCAUCAUGAAAUGAUUUUCUGUCCAUACAUUUAUUUAUGUGUUGGUGUUUUAAUAAUGGAUGAAGAGAAAUGCGUCGGGUUGAGAUAUGGUCCUAGGUGCCAAAUCUUUAAACCGCAGUUCAUACACUUUGGCCUUUACUGAGAUCCUGAGUUAAGACAGGGAAGACUACUAAAGCUACAUUUGUUGUGCACAACCCACUCUGUCCUGGAGUUGCAGGAGAAGAUGCACAGCCUCCUGCAAGAUGUAAUUCAUAUUCAUCACCUCAACUUAAGAUGAUUAUGAUAACUCGGAUUUACGUCCACAAGACUCCGAUCAUUAAUGCUUGGGGGUGACAUUGAUCAAAGCUACAAUCUCAGAAUGAAGUGAUAACUUGGUGAACUUUAUCUGCAUGGAAAUAAAUGACUCAGGUGUGGAAGUAUCUUUAGGGACGCUCUGCAUAACCAGGUUUGAAGGCACCUGAGGGUGGUGAAACUUCACUUAGAGGAAGCAACAGGGUGGGCUAAAGCAGAGUCUGUUAUGUUCUAUAUAUCUUCAAAUAGAGCUCUAGUGUGAAGAUAUAGUUUGGAAAGGUGUGAGGCAACCUCUGGUAAUAUGUUGCUUGGGGAAUCCUAUCCUUUUAAUACAUCUCCCAACAUUAAUGUAGUUGGUCUGUGAAGGUUUCUUGCCAAGAUUGUGUCAGGUUCAGUUGAUGCUUCUUCUGAUACUUCCUAUCUCCUGAGGAUUUCAGACUGAACCAAAUCCUGACCUUCAUAUUUCUCAGCUUCCUGUCUCACAUUACGUGUUUACCUGUGACAACACAUCAGUCAUCACGUUUCCACCUUACCAACUCUGUUUUCUAUUCUGGUGGCACAUAGUACAAAACAUAUCUUUAACAUAACUGUCAUCUCUCAGGGGGCCUACUGGGCAUUAUGUAUAACAAAUUACUUUACUAAGGCAGCAGCUAUUUCCAACAUUGGUUAAAGGGUGCAGCUCGGAUGUGGGAUUUGCUCAGAUAUCGAAAUAUAGCAAUGGUGAGGUAUUCAUUAAUGAAGUAAUGAGGCACCCAAAUCUUUACUAAGGACUGUACUAUAUACUGUACCCUAGUAAGGAAACAUUUAACAUGGUCAUGUGUGUUUCAUUUAUAGGGUACAAGCAACAGUACAAUAACAGCAGUUAAUUAAUAAUAGCAAUGGAGUACCAAUGAUUCAUUCAUGGCCACUGUUACAACUGAACAGCUCUAAUAAUUCAGUAUCAGUCUACAUUUGUGUCUAUGGAUCAGGUUUUGUUCAUCUUGAAUCCUGUGUAAAUACUCCCAUGAGUUUCACAUUUGUUUUUAGUUAUAUGCAACCUUUGAUUGGAUGAUAUUUGGUACAGAAAUUCUCCCCCCUCAGUAUAUUGUCACAGCUUUGGUGGCUGUUUCCCAGGUCAAAAGUAAAAAUUUGGUUUAUGACCAAAUACCUGCAAAAAUUAUGGCAUUUCUGUCAGCCAUAGCUGUACUUUGUGUUUAGUGCUACUUUACAAAUGUUUGCAGCAUGGACUGGGGCCAAAAAGUUACAACUGAUAGUAAACAUGGCAAACAUUAUACCUGCUUAACAUAUACAUGUUGGCAUUAUCAUUGUGAGCAUAUUAGCAUGCUAAAUUUAUCAUUUACCUCACAGCACCACUGUGCCUUAGUAGAUACUGACACACAGAGCAUCACAUCCAAAUGUUUUUGUAUCUAUUGUAUCUGUUGAUUCACAGGUUGAACAACUUUUAGACAUCUAGGUGAAAGGUUUGGAUGAAUCUGUGCUAUGGUGCUCCCCACUGUGCGUCAGAUCCUCCUCCUUUGUUGUAUGUUUGUGGCUGGAAUGUCUAGGGAAUCUACAGCCAAUCAGACUAUGCUUGGGAUAGAGCAGAAUGUUCUGCCAAGACUUCUGAUUGCUUUAACAGUAUUACACUGUUAAAACUGAAUUUGAAAAAUCUCAUCUCGCAGGUUCCUUACAGCAUCUGGAUUGAUGUUAAAUGUACACCAUUUUGGGUUAUUGCCAGUGUACUGCAAUGGAUUUUAUUUUAUUUUAAAAAAUUAUUUUUGCCUUCCCUCUCUAGAGAGUAUUAUUAUGCGUCUAAUACUGUCUUUUUAUAAGAAAGCUUUUCACUGCAAUUAAUGAAAUACUGAUGAUGACAGCUGUGGUGAAAUGUUACAGCUGUCUUUGUCAUGACAAGUAGGGCUUUGUUUAAACUUCACCUCAUCUUUUAUUCUUCCAGUCAGACUUCAUAGUCCUUUCAUUUUACUCUUUUAGGCACUGUCACCAUGUCCCUAACCAUUCUAGGAAAGUCUUUGGAGCAUCCUCCUAAGAAUUUUCAUCUUUCAGGUUUUUCUCCCUGCCCUUUAAGACUCUGAUUUCUUGGCUCACUAUUCCUUGCAAUAAAUAACUCUAUUCCUUCCUCUUUACUUUGUCGUGGCCCUCACAUGAAAAAAGACAUAAAUAUGUAAAAAAAAAUCACUACUGUAUUGCUGAAUAUAUACCUUAUUCUUAUUCUUCCCUUUUAUAUAUAUUUUUCCGACAAAAAACAAAACAAAAAACAACAAGGGCUUAAAGGGUUUCUUUUUGCUGUUUUUUUCUCUUUCUAUCUGACUAAAACUUCUCUCCCACUAACAAAAACUAUAUUAAAUUAAUACAAUUAAUAUGUACUCUACAGGAACAAAUUGUGUGAUCAUGGCACUGUUAGAACAGUUUUGUUUUAUCCAAAUUAUAAAUCAUUCUGUCACCACCUUCCAAAGAGGUUUUGCUGUGUUUUAAGGAUGUCAAGCUACAUUUGCCUUUAGUUCUGAGACACAACCGUCAUUCAUUUGGAUGACCACAUGAGGUUGCUUGUCAGGAAAAGACAAGGCUUAGGCUUCAACUAAUGAUUAUAUAUAUUUUUGUUUACUCUGCAGAUUAUUUUCUUGUUUGAUUGAUUAAUUGUUUGGUCUAUACCAUGUCAAAAAAAAAUAAAAUAAAUACCCAUCACAAUUUGUUGCUUCAACCAAGUUUAAUACAUAGUAGAGUUUUAGUGUUCUUCACUCUUUAACACUGUGUGGUUAUGUAUCAACAUUUAUAUGCACUGUUUUUAUACUUCUUUCAUCUUAUGUUCUAUGUGCUAUUUUUAGCGUCUGUCAAUUUAGCAGCAAAACACAUGUUUGCAAAGUUUCCCCACGUAUUCAAGUAUUGUAAUACUCGCCUCUAUGUAUAAACCAUAAAGAAAUUAAAUGCAGUGUUA